GACGAACGCUGGCGGCGUGCUUAACACAUGCAAGUCGAACGGAGUGGCGAACGGGUGAGUAACACGUGGGUGACCUGCCCUGCACUUCGGGAUAAGACUGGGAAACUGGGGCUAAUACCGGAGAGUGUGGGAUGGGACCUGGGCCUAUCAGCUUGUUGGGGGGGUAAUGGCCUACCAAGGCGGCGACGGGUAGCCGGACUGAGAGGGGGGACGGACACAGUGGGACUGAGGCACGGCCCAGACUCCUACGGGGGGCAGCAGUGGGGAAUAUUGCACAAUGGGCGGAAGCCUGAUGUAGCGACGCCGCGUGUGGGAUGACGGCCUUCGGGUUGUAAACUCCUUUCACCAUCGACGCGGUAGAUGGAGAAGAAGCACCGGCUAACUACGUGCCAGCAGCCGCGGUAAUUC
rnacentral:rRNA from 1 species